GGGGUUGUGGCUCAGAGGUAGAGCACUCACCUAUCAUGUGUGAGACAUGGGAUUUGAUCCUCAGCACCA
rnacentral:tRNA from 1 species